AAGAAAAUAUAUCUUCGCAAAAUCCUCAGCAGCACGAGCAUAUAAUCGUAUACAUUUGCCGUUGUGGACAAUUAUUUAGUAAAGAAGAAGACGCAACACAC